rnacentral:rRNA from 1 species
GACGGAGAGUGCAAACGUUGUUCGGAUUUACUGGGCGUAGAGGGCACGUAGGCGGCCAGGCAAAUCAGUUGUGGAAUCCCGACGCCUACCGUCGGAACGGCAAUUGAAAAUACCUGGCUCGAGGGCAUGAGGGGUCGCAGGAACUCCUGGUGGAGCGGUGAAAUGCGUAGAUAUCAGGAGGAACGCCGGAGGCGAAAGCGUGCGACUGGCAUGACCCUGACGCUGAGGUGCGAAAGCUAGGGGAGCAAACAGG